rnacentral:rRNA from 1 species
UCCGGUUGAUCCUGCCGGACCCGACUGCUAUCCGGGUAGGACUAAGCCAUGCAAGUCAAAUGGGAUACCUAAAUUUCCCAUGGCGAACUGCUCAGUAACGCGUGGUCAACUUACCCUCGGGGGGUGAGAUAACCUCGGGAAACUGAGGACAAUAUCCCGUAGGCGAAGAGGCUUGGAAGGGUUCUUCGUUGAUAGGAGCCAGAAAACGUUCUGGUUUCCGCCCGAGGAUAGGACCGCGUUCGAUUAUGGUCGUUGGCGAGGUAACGGCUCACCAAGCCGAUAAUCGGUAAGGGCCGUGAGAGCGGUAGCCCUGAGAUGGGUACUGAGACAAUGACCCAGGCCUUACGAGGUGCAGCAGGCGCGGAAACUUCACAAUGCACGAAAGUGUGAUGAGGCUACCCGGAGUGCUUUCGCCUGAGGGAAGCUGUGGCGAGUGUGUAAAUAACCUCGCUAGAAAGGAGAGGGCAAGGCUGGUGCCAGCCGCCGCGGUAAAACCAGCUCUUCAAGUGGUCGGGAUAAUUAUUGGGCUUAAAGUGUCCGUAGCCGGUUCAGUAAGUUCUUGGUAAAAGCUGGCAGCUCAACUGUCAGUAUGCUAGGAAUACUGCUGUACUAGAGGGCGGGAGAGGUCUGAGGUACUCCAGGGGUAGGGGUGAAAUCCAAUAAUCCUUGGGGGACCACCAGUGGCGAAAGCGUCAGACUGGAACGCGCCUGGCGGUGAGGGACGAAAGCCAGGGGAGCAAACCGGAUCAGAUACCCGGGUAGUCCUGGCCGUAAACGAUGCGCGCGAGGUGUUGGAAAGGCUACGAGCCGUUUCAGUGCCGUAGGGAAACCGAUAAGCGUGCCGCCUAGGGAGUACGGUCGCAAGACUGAAACUUAAAGGAAUUGGCGGGGGAGCACCACAAGGGGUGAAGCCUGCGGUUUAAUUGGACUCAACGCCGGGAAACUUACCGGGGGCGACAGCAGUAUGAAGGUCAGGCUGACGACCUUACCAGACGAGCUGAGAGGAGGUGCAUGGCCGUCGCCAGUUCGUGCCGCGAGGUAUCCUGUUAAGUCAGGCAACGAACGAGACCCGUGCCCUUAGUUGCCAGCAAGAAGUUACGACUUCGUUGGGAACACUAAGGGGACUGCCAUCGAUAAGAUGGAUGAAGGAGCGGGCCACGGCAGGUCAGUAUGCCCCGAAUCCCCCGGGCCACACGCGGGCUGCAAUGGCGCGGACAAUGGGCUGCAACUCCGAAAGGAGAAGCCAAUCCCGAAACCGCGUCUCAGUUGGAAUUGUUGGCUGUAACUCGCUGACAUGAACGUGGAAUCCCUAGUAAUCGUGUGUCAACAUCGCACGGUGAAUACGUCUCUGCUCCUUGCACACACCGCCCGUCGCUCCACCCGAGUGGGUUUAGGAUGAGGCGCGGUCCUUCGGGUCGUGUCGAGUCUUGGGUCCGCGAGGGGGGAGAAGUCGUAACAAGGUA